GUUGACCUCGGAUCAGGUAGGAAUACCCGCUGAACUUAAGCAUAUCAAUAAGCGGAGGAAAAGAAACCAACAGGGAUUGCCCCAGUAACGGCGAGUGAAGCGGCAACAGCUCAGAUUUGAAAUCCGGCCUCGGCCCGAGUUGUAAUCUGCAGGGGAUGUCCCUGGCGCGGCGCCUACCGAGUUCCCUGGAACGGGACGCCAUAGAGGGUGAGAGCCCCGUAUGGUUGGACGCCAAGCCUCUGUGGGACUCCUCCGACGAGUCGAGUAGUUUGGGAAUGCUGCUCAAAUUGGGAGGUAAAUCUCUUCUAAAGCUAAAUACCGGCCAGAGACCGAUAGCGCACAAGUAGAGUGAUCGAAAGAUGAAAAGCACCUUGGAAAGGGGGUUAAAAAGCACGUGAAAUUGUUGAAAGGGAAGCGCCUGUGACCAGACUCGCGCCGGGCGGAUCAUCCAGCGUUCUCGCUGGUGCACUCCGCCCGGCACGGGCCAGCAUCGGUUUCCGCGGGGGGACAAGAGCGGCGGGAACGUGGCCCUUCGGGGUGUUAUAGCCCGCCGCACGAUGCCCUCUCGGGGACCGAGGAUCGCGCUCUGCAAGGAUGCUGGCGUAAUGGUCACCGGCGACCCGUCUUGAAACACGGACCAAGGAGUCGUCCAUUACGGCGAGCGUUUGGGUGUCAAACCCCUACGCGUAAUGAAAGUGAACGCAGGUGAGAGCUUCGGCGCAUCAUCGACCGAUCCUGAUGUACUCGGAUGGAUUUGAGUAAGAGUCGUACCGGACGGACCCGAAAGAUGGUGAACUAUGCCUGUAUAGGGUGAAGCCAGAGGAAACUCUGGUGGAGGCUCGCAGCGGUUCUGACGUGCAAAUCGAUCGUCAAAUAUGGGCAUGGGGGCGAAAGACUAAUCGAACCAUCUAGUAGCUGG
rnacentral:rRNA from 1 species